UACGUAGGGGGCAAGCGUUAUCCGGAUUUACUGGGUGUAAAGGGAGCGUAGACGGCGCGGCAAGUCUGAAGUGAAAGGCAGGGGCUUAACCCCUGAACUGCUUUGGAAACUGCCAUGCUAGAGUGCUGGAGAGGUAAGUGGAAUUCCUAGUGUAGCGGUGAAAUGCUUAGAGAUCAUACAGAACACCGAUUGCGAAGGCAGCUUACCAAGCUACUUCUGACGUUGAGGCACGAAAGCGUGGGGAGCAAACAGG
rnacentral:rRNA from 1 species